rnacentral:rRNA from 1 species
UCUUCGGCAAUGGGGGGAACCCUGACCGAGCAACGCCGCGUGAGUGAAGAAGGUUUUCGGAUCGUAAUGCUCUGUUGUAAGAGAAGAACGUGUGUGAGAGUGGAAAGUUCACACAGUGACGGUAACUUACCAGAAAGGGACGGCUAACUACGUGCCAGCAGCCGCGGUAAUACGUAGGUCCCGAGCGUUGUCCGGAUUUAUUGGGCGUAAAGCGAGCGCAGGCGGUUUGAUAAGUCUGAAGUAAAAGGCUGUGGCUUAACCAUAGUAUGCUUUGGAAACUGUCAAACUUGAGUGCAGAAGGGGAGAGUGGAAUUCCAUGUGUAGCGGUGAAAUGCGUAGAUAUAUGGAGGAACACCGGUGGCGAAAGCGGCUCUCUGGUCUGCAACUGACGCUAGGCUCGGA